CAGUAGCCGCGGUAAUACGUAGGUGGCAAGCGUUGUCCGGAAUUAUUGGGCGUAAAGCGCGCGCAGGCGGCUUCCCAAGUCCCUCUUAAAAGUGCGGGGCUUAACCCCGUGAUGGGAAGGAAACUGGGAAGCUGGAGUAUCGGAGAGGAAAGUGGAAUUCCUAGUGUAGCGGUGAAAUGCGUAGAGAUUAGGAAGAACACCGGUGGCGAAGGCGACUCUCUGGUCUGUAACUGACGCUGAGGAGCGAAAGCGUGGGGAGCGAACAGGAUUAGAUACCCCGGUAGUCCCUGUCUCUUAUACA
rnacentral:rRNA from 1 species